AUUGAACGCUGGCGGCAUGCUUUACACAUGCAAGUCGAACGCAUCCUUCGGGGUGAGUGGCGCACGGGUGAGUAACACGUGGGAAUGUGCCCUUUGGUUCGGAAUAACGUCUGGAAACGGACGCUAAUACCGGAUGUCCCCUGCGGGGGAAAGAUUUAUCGCCAAAGGAGCAGCCCGCGUCUGAUUAGGUAGUUGGUGGGGUAAAGGCCUACCAAGCCGACGAUCAGUAGCUGGUCUGAGAGGAUGAUCAGCCACACUGGGACUGAGACACGGCCCAGACUCCUACGGGAGGCAGCAGUGGGGAAUAUUGGACAAUGGGCGCAAGCCUGAUCCAGCCAUGCCGCGUGAGUGAUGAAGGCCUUCGGGUUGUAAAGCUCUUUCGCACACGACGAUGAUGACGGUAGUGUGAGAAGAAGCCCCGGCUAACUUCGUGCCAGCAGCCGCCGUAAAAC
rnacentral:rRNA from 1 species